rnacentral:rRNA from 1 species
UCGGAACGUAUCUUCAAGUGGGGGAUAACGCACCGAAAGGUGUGCUAAUACCGCAUAAUCUCUACGGAGAGAAGCAGGGGAUCGCAAGACCUUGCGCUUUUGGAGCGGCCGAUGUCUGAUUAGCUAGUUGGUGAGGUAAAGGCUUACCAAGGCUUCGAUCAGUAGCUGGUCUGAGAGGACGACCAGCCACACUGGGACUGAGACACGGCCCAG